UUGACCUCGGAUCAGGUAGGGAUACCCGCUGAACUUAAGCAUAUCAAUAAGCGGAGGAAAAGAAACCAACAGGGAUUGCCUCAGUAACGGCGAGUGAAGCGGCAACAGCUCAAAUUUGAAAUCUGGCUCCUUCGGGGUCCGAAUUGUAAUUUGUAGAGAGUGCUUCGGGCGAGACCUCGGUCUAAGUCCAUUGGAACAUGGUGUCAUAGAGGGUGAGAAUCCCGUAUGCGACCGUGGCUCGAGCCCAUGUGAAGCCUCUUCGACGAGUCGAGUUGUUUGGGAAUGCAGCUCAAAAUGGGUGGUAAAUUUCAUCUAAAGCUAAAUACUGGCUGGAGACCGAUAGCGCACAAGUAGAGUGAUCGAAAGAUGAAAAGCACUUUGGAAAGAGAGUCAAACAGUACGUGAAAUUGUUGAAAGGGAAGCGCUUGCAACCAGACCUGCCCGUAGGCGAUCCGCCGCUGUUCUCAGCGGUGUACUCGCUCUGCGAUCAGGCCAGCAUCGGUUUCGGCGGUCGGAUAAAGGCCUUGGGAAUGUAGCUUCCCCUCGGGGGAGUCUUAUAGCCCUCGGUGUAAUGCGGCCAGCUGGGACCGAGGACCGCGCUUCGGCUAGGAUGCUGGCGUAAUGGUUGUAAGCGACCCGUCUUGAAACACGGACCAAGGAGUCUAACAUCUAUGCGAGUGUUUGGGUGUCAAACCCAUACGCGAAAUGAAAGUGAACGGAGGUGAGAACCCUUAAGGGCGCAUCAUCGACCGAUCCAGAUGUCUUCGGAUGGAUUUGAGUAUGAGCAUAGCUGUUGGGACCCGAAAGAUGGUGAACUAUGCCUGAAUAGGGUGAAGCCAGAGGAAACUCUGGUGGAGGCUCGCAGCGGUUCUGACGUGCAAAUCGAUCG
rnacentral:rRNA from 1 species